rnacentral:rRNA from 1 species
UACGUAGGGCGCGAGCGUUGUCCGGAAUCAUUGGGCGUAAAGCGCUCGUAGGCGGCCGGUUGCGUCUGCUGUGAAAUCCCGGGGCUUAACCCCGGGCGUGCAGUGGAUACGGGCUGGCUGGAGGCAGGCAGGGGAGAAUGGAAUUCCCGGUGUAGCGGUGAAAUGCGCAGAUAUCGGGAGGAACACCGGUGGCGAAGGCGGUUCUCUGGGCCUGUGCUGACGCUGAGGAGCGAAAGCGUGGGGAGCGAACAGG